CCCCGGGCCCUGUCGAAGCUGCACCUGUCUUUUGUAGCUGGUGCAGUCAAAAAGGAGCCAAAAGUGACUCUUUCCUUGACGGUCGCUGUUCAGUUUGCUCUGCUGUAACUGUCCAGCAACAUUUUUUGGAAAGUACAUUU
ensembl:snoRNA